AUGCCUGCAGGGACUGUAUCGGGAAUUAGGAAAGGAAAUUCCAGAGGAUGCAUUGCAACGCCUGUCAGCUACCCAAGCAAUUACAACUGGAUCAUCUCAUGUUGGCUCGGAGUCCACUAACAAUAGCAUUGAUGAUGAUGGCCAUGAUGCUGAGGAUCUCGGCGGAACACAUUGACAGCAAUAUUGAAGCCAGCACCCAGCAGAGCAGAAACAAUGCAUCUGUGAUGGUGCAGCUUGUUUACUUUUGUAGAGAUGACAACUUCAUCUUUUGUAGAGUUGUCCCUAUUAACUAGGAUAAUGAUAGUAUGACUCCAUCUAGCCAUCUCUAGCUACGUUGUGCUAGAAAUUUAUGGCGAUACUUUUGUGGGCUCCUUAUUAGGUUGGUAGGAGUCUAGUAGUAUGACCCAGUUUACUGAUCUAUAGCUGUGCUACUGAUCUAAAGCUGUGCUAGUUCA